rnacentral:rRNA from 1 species
GAUGAACGCUGGCGGCGUGCCUAAUACAUGCAAGUCGAGCGAACAGAUGAGGAGCUUGCUCCUCUGACGUUAGCGGCGGACGGGUGAGUAACACGUGGAUAACCUCCCUAUCAGACUGGGAUCACUUCGGGAAACCGGCGCUAAUACCGGAUAAUCUAUUGAACCGCAUGGUUCAAUAGUAAAAGACGGCUUUGCUGUCACUUAUAGAUGGAUCCGCGCCGCAUUAGCUAGUUGGUAAGGUAACGGCUUACCAAGGAAACGAUGCGUAGCCGACCUGAGAGGGUGAUCGGCCACACUGGAACUGAAACGCGGUCCAGACUCCUACGGGAGGCAGCAGUAGGGAAUCUUCCGCAAAGGGCGAAAGCCUUACGGAGCAACGCCGCGUGAGUUAUGAAGGUCUUCGGAUCGUAAAACUCUGUUAUGAGGGAAGAACAAAUGUGUAAGUAACUAUGCACGUCUUGACGGUACCUAAUCAGAAAGCCACGGCUAACUACGUG